CCAAACUCAGAAAACCCAAAGGAACUUAAUCGCUCUGUGAAAACAUGAUGAGGGAAGACACAGUGAAAGAAAAAUACAAGGAAACAUUAGGAGGAAACAUAGCAGAAGAAAACAUAUAUGAGUCAAAGUAGAAACACACAGGAGUCACAGUAGGACAAAUACAGUAGGAACACCACAAAGAAAUCAUAGUUGAACAAGUAAAUCAAGGAAACCCUAAGUCGGAAAAGAUGAACAGUUUUUGAAAGCAAAGUUUUGAAAAAGAUGUAGGAAGUCAUUUGAAAACCUUAAAAAUAGCACGGAUCUGAAGCAUAUCUAGAGAGAAAUAAGAAAACCUCGAAAUGACAUAGGGUUUCGGAGGAUCCCUAGAAAUGAGAAAGUCUUGGAAAAGGGACUGAUCCGAGUCGAACGAGUCAGAGAUGGCCUCAUAGGGCUAGGAUACGCCGGAUUUGAGCCAGGGAUGGCCACAGAACUCGAAUAGGAGGAGAUCUGAGUCAAGUUCUUCAAGGUCAGGCCUUGAAUCUUCAAAGAACAAGGGCAUGAAGGUGCAUGGAGGUGAGUACAGGCAACCCAGGGCUUGGGAGGCCAUUGAUUCUGGUGAAAUAAGGUGGAAACCGACGAGGUAGUACUAGGGUUUCGGAGAGGGUUAUAGAGAGAUUGAGAAGAUGAGAGAGUAUAG
rnacentral:lncRNA from 1 species